rnacentral:misc_RNA from 1 species
CCGAGUUCAUGCCCGUAUGGGUAGAUCUCCCACCCUGUGUUGUUAUACUUUGUUGCUUUGGCGGGCCGUCAGGCCUUGGUCUGGCUACCGGCUCCGGCUGGUAAGCGCCCGCCAGAGGACCCCAAACCCUGAAUGUCAGUGUCGUCUGAGUACUAUAUAAUAGUUA